GCUAUAGAGAUUUAGGUUCAGAUUAAUACUUUACAGCAAAAGGGCAAGAAGCAACAGACACCAGUUGUACCAAAAGAAAGCCCAUAGACAUAAGGAACCUUUUUUCCAUAAUGCAGGUGAUUAAAACACUGGACCAGAUUGUUAAGAAAUGUUGUAGAAUAAUUAUACUUGACAGUAGUCAGAUCUGACUUGACAAAGCUCUGAUCUAUGUUUUCAGGUGACUCUGCUCCAAUGCAUCAUACAGUUUUUACUGUCUGGCACAUUGGCUGUCUACCUUGUCAUUUUGAAGCCUGCAAUAAAGGAGAUGCUGCCAUUUUCCAUGAUGAAGUAUCUUCCACUUCUGAACUGCAAUCAGCAGGAAGCCCACCUCUGGUAUCACAAUAGCACUCCAUGCUGAUCAUCACCAGAGCCCAGUGUUCAAUUCAGAGGCAAUGUCAAAAAGAGCAACAGAAGAGAAAGAGAAGAGAGAAGAAACUAGCCUGGAUUGAUUUAAAGAGCAGGUAAGCCAAAAGAUUAGUAAAUAAAUAAAUAAAUCUGCUCCAGGGGAGCGAUUGUACUUUUGUGCAUGAAUCUAUAAAAAAACCUCCUCUGAAUUCUCUACUUUGAAACCUUAGGUAUGUUCUGUUAAAUUCAUUCUGGACCUCCAAAAAGAAAGUUGAUAAUAGAUAGAAGUGUAGUCUUCUGCUAUGGAAAACAGCCUUGUUUUUCCAAACUGUAGUAUUUUGAUCCCAUUCUUUUUAUGUAAUUUAAUCAUAUUCUUAAUUGGCAGAGGAUUGAUUCAAAAUUCUACUUGGUACUUAGCAUUUAUCCUAACAAAUGUCUGCUCACUCAGAUCAGCCCAAGGCUUUCUGGCCAGAAGCAGCUCGGCUGCAGCAACAUUUCCUGGGUGCAAUUUCAAGAGGGAGCAUCGAGACACGGCCGGCUGAAAGGCAGUCUUAGUCCUCCCUUUAGGUGUAGUCACGGCAUUUUUCACAUCUAGAACUAAAAUUGUUUGGCCCUCCUGGCAAUUGAUAUGGGUGACAAAUCGUAACAAUCCAAACUAAAGUAACGACGUGAGUGAUGAUCAGCACAGAUAUUAUUACCGAUCAAGCAGUCUCUAGCUUAAACUUAGUGACGCAGCUGCAACUUAACACUAGGUGUUUUAAAGAAUGUGCACAGUGUUAAGCCAACAUUAGAUGAAAGAGAGUAGCUGAGCAGAUAGAAAAGCAUUCAUACAAAGAGACCUCACUCAAAAGCAUAGAUGGAUAUCAUAAGCAGAAAGUAUUUAAAAUAUACAUGACAGAACAGUUUGUUUGGAGAAAUAAUGAGACAAAAGGGAUACAAUCUUCUAACUGUAAAAUAUCAUUAAACAAUUAGGGCUAUCACCAUCUGUGGGCCAAAACUUAAGUUCCUUUCCUUCAGAAGUGAUCAUUCAUUAUGACUGUAGGUUUACUUUUAUCUCUAAGAACAAGGAAGGGUAUCUAAGUUAGAGCCAAAACGUAUUUUUUCUGAUGAGUCUAAUGAUAAUAAUGCAGAUCAGUUUAGUGAGAUAAGUUUAUAAACCCCUCAUCGUUCUCUCAGGUUAUGCAGUUUUCUCUGCCUGAAUGGCAGCAAUGAUUCAACCUCUAUGUUUUCUUAUAGUCGCUCUCGUGUUUAAGUUAGUGGAAUUUGCAACUACAGGCUUCAUGCUCUGGAAGAAUGCCAUUUAUACGGAGGGAGAAAUCAAUGAUCCUGCUGCACUCAGAUUGUUGAUAUGUUACAUAUUUUCCAAAUGCACAACUGAACUUCUGGAUUUCCCAUAAUAUGAUAUUAUCUGUGUGGUAACUUUCAAGUUAUCCUGAAAGAAGUUUCACAUUAACAGAAUUCAACUGUUUUUGUUCUUAUGAAAAUCAGCUAAAUUCAUGAAACUGAGAUGAUUAACUAAAGCUUACGAUGUCGACCAGAGUAUUAGAUUUCCAUCAUGAUCAUGCAACAGAACCAAUUUGUAGAUUUCAGAGUCACAGUGUGAAAAGGGUAUGUGUGUUGUUAGGUACUGUUGCAGAGAGCAGUUCUGCAUUGACUGGAGCAGUGUGGGGAUUAAUCCAUGACAUGAUAAGCAAAAGAUUUACAUACUUGGAGUGAAAUUCACAUGGCACUUGCAAAACAAAAAUGGCAGAAAUAUACUCCCACUUUCUAUAGUUUCUUAAAUGCAUUAAUUUACUUCCUGAUCUUGACCACUGUGCUUGCAAAAGCAAUACGUAGUCUGCAUUAAUGCAUAUGUUGUUGUAUAUUAAUGAUCAUUAUACACAGCAAAGUAUGCAUACAAAAGUAACAAAAGGCAUUUCAGGAAUAUGAUCCUUUAUCUGAUGAUGUCAAACCAGCAAUUUUUAUUUCUCUCUAAAUUAUUUGAAUUGGUCCAGAUCAGGAAAAAAAACGAUGCAUGGUCUAUCUCUGAGUGAAGUAACAUGAGUCAAUUCGGUUACACAAUUUGUGCUUGUCCACAUUUUUGGAAAGUGAUUGGCAGCUGCUUUUGGUAGGUGUAAAUGAAAGGACAGAAGAGCUGUUUUCUGUGGAAAAAAACUUGUAUUUUAUAUGGGCUCAAUAGCAAAGAAACAGGUUUUUAGAAAUGACAUUUUUGUAGUAUCACCCAAUAAGUACCUGUAUAUGGAUAUCACUGAUAUAACCAGCCUAAGAAAUCAUCAUUUGGAUGAAUCAUUUGGCCAAGUGCUAACGUGAAUAGAAAAGAUAGUCUACUGUCUUGGAGUGAAAUGGAAUAGACAUAAUCACAGUGUAGGUGAGAGAUGGCAGCAAACCAUUAACGUACAGAGGAUUAAAGCGUGAGGUGGCAAAGAAUAAAUGUGGACUACAGAAUUUGUUUGGUAAGCUAGACAUGCAAUUAGAGGAAGCAGAAAUUUAAGAGUCAAUGAAACCUAAAGAGAAAGCAAGCCUGUCUGCUGUGAUAAGUUAGUCAUUUAGAACUACAACAGGUGUUACUACAGUAAUUAGAAUAUACUGAGUUAUCUGAUUGGAAUUUUUGCAUGAUGAGAGCAUUGCCAACUGCUUUUGAUAUUGGCUGAUGGCAACAGUAACAGGCCAAAAACACCUGCUCUGAAAUCUUUUGACCAGCAAGAGAGGAAGAUGCUUUUCAGUGGCUUUAUUUUUCAGCACUUCCCCUUUUUGUUGUAGCCUCCUAAGUCUUUCAUAAACAAAUUAACAGUAAUGAUAUUUUAAAGGGUGAGUUACUUGAGAUCUCUUAAGAAGAGGUACCAUAACUAAAUUCUGUUUUUCAUUUAUGAACUUCCCUCUAUGAUUAUACUUGCAAACAAGUUUUGGGUUUACUUUCUAAGUCUUUAAAGCUAUAUUAUUACAUUCUGAUGUUUGUCAUAAGCACUAGCAAAGCUUUUUUCUGUCCUGUCUCUCUCUACUGGAGUUUCAGCUUGCUUGAAAUGAAAAAGAUGAUUUGCUGUAGAUCAAUAUUCCCUUAAGAUGUAAACACAUCAGCUAUUAGAAGUGAAGCAAGAGCAAGAGUAGUGGCCAGUACUCUAAUGUUAGAUCUCUAUGGAUAUCUCAGGGGCGGCAGCAACUGUAAUGAGGAAUCAAUAACUUGAACAAAUCUCUCUUAGGCCUGAAGGAACCUCUUAGAGUAUGUUUGUGUCUUUGUAUAACUGGAGCUGGCUUGCUGUAAAUGAGAUGCAAAAUGGAGGAAUUCAGGAAAUUCAUACGGCAGUUUCAGUGCUGCACAGGACUGCAAGUUUGAUCCCAGAGGCACCUUGAAGAAGCUUUUCUGUUGUGAAACCCAUCUUUCAGAAGCGCAUUAUGAAGUUAAGUCACUCACCAAGAGCUGAAACCUAGGAGCUGUCAAGGGCUUUCUAUUUUAAAUGACAUUUAUCUUCAUCUUGGAAAGCCUAGCUUUUACAGAGAGCAUAAAGAACUAGAGUCCAAAAGCAGGCAUAUGCAGAGGGCCAUUUAAGAUACCCAUUUGGAAACCUGAUGAUCAAUUACGUCUUAAAUACCACCUCUUUCUGUGGACUUAAGGUAGCACAGCCACUCUAUGGCAGUCUUCUACCAUUUGCAGUUCCUAAGUGUUGUCCAAUGAUGACCAUACAACUAUCUGCAGCUCAGACAUCAACAUCUGUCCCUAUAAUAGCUACUGGACAGUUCAGAGAUAUAUGCCAAAGGAAACUGAAAUGAUCACAGCUACAAGGUCAGGUGUCCCUGCAUCAUAAUAUAAUGGUGGCAAUGUGGAACACCCCUGGAUUAACUUGUGCUAGCAUAAGGACUAAAAAGAAAGAUCUCAGCAUGUUUCAAAAUCCUACUUUAAGAUAUAAAAGGUUUUCCUCCAGAGAAAACAAACACUUGAUCCCCACACGUUGAGGUCUGUAAAGGCUGCUGUUUCCAUUUUAAGAUAUGAAACCCUAUAACAUGGAACAAUCGCCCCCAAAUUAUAUACAUUGCAGAUUAAUUUUUGCUGAUUAUUAUCCACUGAAUUCAUUUUAGAGAACAACUCACUAGAGGAUAAACGUCAAUUUCAUUAUUAUUUUUCAAAACUAAGAUUCAAUUUUGCAUUUCUAUCAGAUUCAAAAUAAUUUUCUAUGUAACUCAGUGGGAUAUUCAUAUGUGCUCAGAAACUAACGAGGUAUGGGAAAUAGAUACACUAUCAUAAAAGGAAAAUCACUAAAUGAGGAAAAAAAAAAAAGAUUGUAAAAGGACCUUUUCAGUAAAAAGAACAAUUUCAUCACUGAGUAGAACUACUUGUUCACUGUAUCUCUGUUUUUUGCCAUCUCAAGUGGCCUGUUCAAUUCUGUUACUAUUUCAGAACAUUCUGCUUCUACUGACUGAAGGAAUACUGUUCAUUAAAAAUCUUUGUAAAGCAAUGUUAAAAAGAAAAAUGAAG
ensembl:lncRNA